AAUUCAAAACAGAUUCUUCCCAGCACUCUAGAGGCUGCCAUGCACCACUGCUCUCUUAUCUGUUUAUGUUCAGGAAAUAGGAUACUUCAGUAAGUAAAUGUGUGGAGUAUUUAAUUAAACUCACGGCUGGGCUCUGUGUGUGAGGCUGGUCCUCGUUCAGGGAUUACUGGACUGUUGCAUCGUUCCUUCUCUUUUAUUUCCCUUCAUCCUGGUGCUUCUAUCUUCAGCUCAGUAUCAGCAGGAGCUAUGGAGCAUCAGGAUACGCAGUGGAUGCUGCAAUAUGCCACCACCUCCCUCCCUUCAGGACCAAGAUAAAUUACCCCCCAGAUGCCAGGAAUGUUGACUGCUGACAGCUCUCCUUCCACCCCUCUCUGAGCACUGCCACCAGCUGAAGAGAGCCCACUUAUCCAAGCUCAGUGGACAUCCAACGACAGGUCAAUUCUGGAUUCUCCUUUACUUAUGUACGAAUCAGGACAAAAGACAAAGGAUAACACAAAAAAAAAGAAAAGAAAAAAAAGAAAAAAGAAAAGACCUGAGCCAGACAGGCAAGCCUGAAGAGGAUGGAAGUUUUUGAGUAUUCUGGUUCUCUGGAGACAAGUGACAUGGAAAUAUUUCUGGACGGAGGAAAACGCAUUCAUUCCUCAGUCUCCACUGACCCUGUUUUUCAGAGUCGAUAUUUGUAAGGAUGCCAGCAUCCUUACCUCCUGGGCAAAUGAAGAGACACUGUAGAAUAAUGAAGUUUAUCCUGAAGAUAAAUUCUCCUCACUCCUGCUGGGUGCAUCACCGGAAACUAUAAAAGAG